rnacentral:rRNA from 1 species
CCAGACUCCUACGGGAGGCAGCAGUGGGGAAUAUUGGGCAAUGGAGGCAACUCUGACCCAGCAACGCCGCGUGAGUGAUGAAGGUCUUCGGAUUGUAAAACUCUUUAAGUGGGGACGAAGAAAGUGACUGUACCCACAGAAUAAGCCUCGGCUAACUACGUGCCAGCAGCCGCGGUAAUACGUAGGAGGCAAGCGUUAUCCGGAAUGACUGGGCGUAAAGGGUGCGUAGGUGGUUUGACAAGUUAGUAGCGUAAUUCCGGGGCUCAACUUCGGAACUACUACUAAAACUGUUGGGCUUGAGUGCAGGAGAGGUGAAUGGAAUUCCUAGUGUAGCGGUGGAAUGCGUAGAUAUUAGGAGGAACACCAGCGGCGAAGGCGGCCUGCUGGACGACAACUGACGGUGAGGCGCGAAAGCGUGGGGAGCAAACAGGAUUAGAUACCCGCGUAC